CCUACGGGAGGCAGCAGUGAGGAAUAUUGGUCAAUGGGCGCGAGACUGAACCAGCCAAGUAGCGUGCAGGAUGACUGCCCUACGGGUUGUAAACUUCUUUUAUACAGGAAUAAAGUGAGGCACGUGUGAUUUUUUGUAUGUACCUCAUGAAUAAGGAUCGGCUAACUCCGUGCCAGCAGCCGCGGUAAUACGGAGGUUCCGAGCGUUAUCCGGAUUUAUUGGGUUUAAAGGGAGCGUAGAUGGGAUGUUAAGCCAGUUGUGAAAUUCGGCGGCUCAACCGUGGAAUUGCAAUUGAUACUGGCAGUCUUGAGUACAGGUGAGGUAGGCGGAAUUCGUGGUGUAGCGGUGAAAUGCUUAGAUAUCACGAAGAACUCCGAUUGCGAAGGCAGCAUACGAAACAGCCACUGACGGUGAUGCUCGAAGGUGUGGGUAUCGAACAGGAUUAGAUACCCCGGUAGUC
rnacentral:rRNA from 1 species